rnacentral:rRNA from 1 species
UACGUAGGGGGCGAGCGUUGUCCGGAGUUACUGGGCGUAAAGCGCGCGCAGGCGGUCUGCUAAGUUUGGAGUGACAGUUGGUGGCUUAACUGCCAAAGUGCUUCGAAAACUGACAGACUUGAGGGCUUCAGAGGGACACGGAAUUCCGGGUGGAGUGGUGGAAUGCGUAGAGAUCCGGAGGAACACCAAAGGCGAAGGCAGUGUCCUGGGGAGUACCUGACGCUCAGGUGCGAAAGCCAGGGGAGCAAACAGG